rnacentral:ncRNA from 1 species
UGUUAACCUGCUGGAAAUUCUUUUCUGCAAAAGAGGCUAGGAUAAUGGGGAGUGUGAAGGAAAACUUCUAGAACGUUGACUGAAAAGGAUUGAAGUGCGGACUAAGUGGCGAUCAAGUUCUGAUGGUGGUGACGCCUCAGGCUGGGAUAAAGGGGAAACCGCCCCGCGGGAAACCAAGGGGAACCUAGUGGGAAAACCUACUUGACCUAAGCUGCAACAUUUACUUUUCAGUAUCCUAAAAUUUAAGGAACUUA